GGCGGCAGGCCUAACACAUGCAAGUCGAGCGGUAACAUUUCUAGCUUGCUAGAAGAUGACGAGCGGCGGACGGGUGAGUAACGCGUAGAAAUCUACCUAGUAGUGGGGGAUAGCCCAGAGAAAUUUGGAUUAAUACCGCAUACGCCCUACGGGGGGAAGCGGGGGAUCUUCGGACCUCGUGCUAUUAGAUGAGUCUGCGUCGGAUUAGCUUGUUGGUGAGGUAAUGGCUCACCAAGGCGACGAUCCGUAGCUGGUCUGAGAGGAUGACCAGCCACACUGGAACUGAGACACGGUCCAGACUCCUACGGGAGGCAGCAGUGGGGAAUAUUGCACAAUGGGCGCAAGCCUGAUGCAGCCAUGCCGCGUGUGUGAAGAAGGCCAUAGGGUUGUAAAGCACUUUCAGCAGUGAGGAAAGGGGUGUCGUUAAUAGCGCCAUCCUGUGACGUUAACUGCAGAAGAAGGACCGGCUAACUCCGUG
rnacentral:rRNA from 1 species